UUUUUCCUCAACCCGAGAAAACACAGAGAGAAUGACGGUUAGCUGAACUGCCGACUGGUGCUGGCGUUGCAUUAUGGGAGAUGUAGUUUGGUCCUCUACGGUCUGAAUGGAAUAGAGGUGAUUUCACGUUGUAACUUAUUUAUGUUGCAGUGUUUUUGUACAUGAGUUGUUGUAUUUUUGUACUGUCAACACUGAAAGCACCUAGCAAUGUAUUGGGGAUGUGAGACAGGAUACGUGUUUUACCUUUCUUCAUGCUCCUGUGUAUAACAACUUGUCAGAUGGUGCGUUGGAGACUGAUGUAUUCCUGUCCUGUCUUUUCACAAUACUAUUGCAGGUAUGGUUCUAUUGUCAAAUAAUUAAGAUUAUACAUGAUUUGUAUUAAGGACUGGUUAUUAUUUUAUAGUAUACAUUAUGGCUUUAUGUAUGAGUGUGAUUGUGUGAGUCUGAGAAAACACAGAGAGAAAGAACAACUUGUCAGAUGGUGCAUUGGAGACUGUUCCUGUCCUGUCUUUUCACAUUACUAUUGCAGAUUAACAUAAAAGCCUAAAAGACA